CACCGGCGGCUCGAGUGGUGGCCACUUUUAUUGGGUCUAAAGCGUCCGUAGCCGGCUUGGCAAGUCCCCUGGGAAAUCUGGCGGCUUAACCGUCAGGCGUCCAGAGGAUACUGCCAGGCUUGGGACCUGGAGAGGUGAGAGGUACCUCAGGGGUAGGGGUGAAAUCUUGUGAUCCCUGAGGGACCACCAGUGGCGAAGGCGUCUCACUAGAACGGGUCCGACGGUCAGGGACGAAAGCUGGGGGCACGAACCGG
rnacentral:rRNA from 1 species